AGCUAUACAAUCCACCAGACCAUUGCCUUCUCUGUAUGUGUGUGUGAUUGUAGUACUUGUUAGAAGUAUGAUGUCUCUGAUUUCCUCUAUUUUCUCCACCAGUUCCAAAGGUACUUUCCAUUCCAUCUGGAUGAUUUUUUCAAACUGAGUGAAUCAGUUUCGAUUAUAACAUCCUAUAAGUUCGUUUACUUGCAAGUUCUUAAGGCCUCUAGGAUUGCUAAUGAUUCUGCCUCCAUGUUUUUAGCAAUUCCUACUCCCCUUGAUUUUGCAAAUAUUAAAUCCCCACGACUAUCUCUUAGGCAAUAACCAAUCGAACUCAAACCUGAAUUACCUCUGCUAGCCCCAUCAGUAUUACAUUUUAUUCUCCUAUUGUCAGGAGGUUUCCAGGUAACAUUGAGGUAGUGUAGCUUUGGUUUAUAGUUCCCUAAUCUGCUAAUUAUGU
rnacentral:lncRNA from 1 species